rnacentral:rRNA from 2 species
ACAUGCAAGUCGAGCGGACGGAUGGGAGCUUGCUCCCAGACCGUCAGCGGCGGACGGGUGAGUAACACGUGGGCAACCUGCCUGUAAGACUGGGAUAACUCCGGGAAACCGGGGCUAAUACCGGAUAAUUCUUUCCCUCACAUGAGGGAAAGCUGAAAGAUGGCAUCUCGCUAUCACUUACAGAUGGGCCCGCGGCGCAUUAGCUAGUUGGUGAGGUAACGGCUCACCAAGGCCACGAUGCGUAGCCGACCUGAGAGGGUGAUCGGCCACACUGGGACUGAGACACGGCCCAGACUCCUACGGGAGGCAGCAGUAGGGAAUCUUCCGCAAUGGACGAAAGUCUGACGGAGCAACGCCGCGUGAGUGAUGAAGGUUUUCGGAUCGUAAAACUCUGUUGUCAGGGAAGAACAAGUACCGGAGUAACUGCCGGUACCUUGACGGUACCUGACCAGAAAGCCACGGCUAACUACGUGCCAGCAGCCGCGGUAAUACGUAGGUGGCAAGCGUUGUCCGGAAUUAUUGGGCGUAAAGCGCGCGCAGGCGGUUCCUUAAGUCUGAUGUGAAAGCCCCCGGCUCAACCGGGGAGGGUCAUUGGAAACUGGGGAACUUGAGUGCAGAAGAGAAGAGUGGAAUUCCACGUGUAGCGGUGAAAUGCGUAGAGAUGUGGAGGAACACCAGUGGCGAAGGCGACUCUUUGGUCUGUAACUGACGCUGAGGCGCGAAAGCGUGGGGAGCAAACAGGAUUAGAUACCCUGGUAGUCCACGCCGUAAACGAUGAGUGCUAAGUGUUAGAGGGUUUCCGCCCUUUAGUGCUGCAGCAAACGCAUUAAGCACUCCGCCUGGGGAGUACGGCCGCAAGGCUGAAACUCAAAGGAAUUGACGGGGGCCCGCACAAGCGGUGGAGCAUGUGUUUUAAUUCGAAGCAACGCGAGAACUUACCAGGUCUUGACAUC